UUUGACAUCCCAUAUUUUUUUCUAGAAAUAGAAAAAUUGACGUGGAGACAGGUGGUGCAUGGCUGUCGUCAGCUCGUGUCGUGUGAUGUUGGGUUAAGUCCCGUAACGAGCGCAACCCUUGUCUUUAGUUCGAUAGNNNAAAGAAACUGCCGAUAAUAAAUCGGUGGAAGGUGAGGAUGACGUCAAGUCAGCAUGCCCCUUAUAUUNNGGGCGACACACGUGCUACAAUGGUUAAGACAAUGGGAUGCAAACUUGUAAAAGGAAGCUAACCUCAAAAACUUAAUCGAAGUUCGGAUUGUCGACUGAAACUCGUCGACAUGAAGCUGGAAUCGCUAGUAAUCGCCGGUCAGCCACACGGCGGUGAAUACGUUCUCGGGCCUUGUACACACCGCCCGUCACGUUAGGGAAGCUGAUUACGCCCGAAGUCAUUAAUUUAACCUUUUGGAGAAAAAUGCCGAAGGCAGAGUGAGUAACUAGAACGAAGUCGUAACAAGGUAACA
rnacentral:rRNA from 1 species